UCCCAGCACCCACACCAGGCGGCUCACAGCCAUCUAUAACUCCAGUUCCGGGGAAUGCAGCUCCCUCUGACCUCCGCAGGCACUUGGAGGCAUACAUACACAAAUCUUCAGAGGUGGAUAAGCCACCACACCCCCGAGUGGCUCACGGACACCAUUGCUAACUCUCCAUAGGGGAGAAUAAGGGCCUCCUUCUCCACAGCCUCCAACUCCCAGGAAUCCCGACCCUUAGUGAAGGAAUCCAGUCUGAGCUUGACAAGGGGUGCAGAGCAUCCAGGAAGACGAAUUUCCGCUUCCUCACCUUGACACAUGGACUCCAGGCAUUUUUCUAGUCCACCCAGAUCCAGUUUACAGCCAUAAACCCUGUAAUUCCCCACGGUUCGGGUAGCCAUCCCAACUGCCGGCACUCGACUGAAUCAAAAACUACCUGAAAGGACAAAAAGCCUGGUCGGGCGGCCUAAGUCACAUCUCCUUCCCUGAGUGGGGUCCUGAGGCCUGGGGGACGAACCUGAGAGCAGCUGAACCUGACAAACUGUCGUGGAGCCCACGAGACUGAAAGCAAAUCGCCAGCAUGACGACCAAUCGGGAGGACGGAGAGGCUGCUUAGCCCGCCCACUGAGUGACGUCAUUUCCCAGCAACCGUGAAGCUCCGUACCUUAGCAACCGGGCUAGACCUAAGCAAUAGAAUUAGGUCAGAUCGAACCGAACCAGACAAAGAUCUGGCUGACUGGUUUAUUCCAAAUGGAAAAAAAAAAGACCAAGAAUGGGAAACUUGGACUGGAGAAGAUGGGGGCGGGGGGUAAGAGAGUUUUGGCAAACAUGCGCAAAGGGCCUGAGUUUCAGACUCACUAACUUUUUAAAGGCCGAGAAUUUAGCGGCUUCAGAACCCGCCGUGUUAUGACUAAAUUCAGAGACCUUAGUUGAAAUCAACUCCUGUCCAUUUUGGUUCCUCCUUGACUUCUGCUUCAUAUCCAUUAUUGCCCUUCAACCGACCCUCUUGAUCUAGAAUCUUAGUGUUUUUCAGACUCGAAUGUGCAUGCCCAUCACUUGGGAAAGACGUCCAAUUGCAGACCUGGAUUUCGCAAGUCUGAGAUGGAGCCUGUGAUCCUUAGCUUCCGCUCCUGCUUUCAGCCCACGAAACGCACCGCCACGGUAUAAUCCCUCGUUGACCUCAUUCUGAACCAGCUCAGUUUGGCCUAUAUUUUGCGUGUGUAGCUGGUAUAGCACGCUCCAGGGAGUGGAGCGGUGGAGAACCGGUCUGCUCCCGAAGGAAGGUGGAGAUAGUCCCUUCAGUGACUCAUGCUUGCUUGGCGAACUGCCUGCGCAAGCUGGGCCAGCACCAUUCUCAGGGAAGGAGAAUCCCUAAGUACCUCACUUGGGCACAUGUUCUGGGUGUCCCUGCCCUGGAGCUCACCAUGUAGGGGAGGAUGCUGGGAUUACAGACAUGUGUCACUGUGUCUGAUUUAUGUGUCACUGUGGAUCGCACCCAGAGCUUCGUUGAUGAUGAAGGUGAAAACAAAUACGGACAAGCCUUAACACUGAUUAGAAGGUAAACCGGGCAGUGGUGGCGCACUCCUUUAAGCCCAGAACUCGGGAGGCAGAGGCAGGCAGAUCUCUGUAAUUUUGAGGCCAGCCUGGUCUACAGAUCGAAUUCUAGGACAGGCUCCCAAGCUUCAGAGAAAUUCUGUCUCGAAAAACAAAACAGACAAAAAAGGAAUAUAAAGAGAAUAGUUGUACUAAUAAACCCCCUCAGAGAUAUUAAAUAAAAAAUUAAACUUA